rnacentral:rRNA from 1 species
CUAUGACUGACGCUGAGGUACGAAAGCGUNGGGAGCGAACAGGAUUAGAUACCCUGGUAGUCCACGCUGUAANCGAUGAUCACUCGUUGUUGGCGAUAUAGUGUCAGCGACUGAGCGAAAGCAUUAAGUGAUCCACCUGGGGAGUACGAUCGCAAGAUUGAUACUCAAAGGAAUUGACGGGGGCCCGCACAAGCGGAGGAAAAUGUGGUUUAAUUCGAUGAUACGCGAGGAACCUUACCUGGGCUUAAAUGUAGAACGACGGAUCGGGAAACUGAUCCUUCUUCGGACGGUCUGCAAGNUGCUGCAUGGCUGUCGUCAGCUCGUGCCGUGAGGUGUCGGGUUAAGUCCCAUAACGAGCGCAACCCUCAUCAUUAGUUGCCAGCGGGUAAUGCCGGGGACUCUAAUGAAACUGCCGGUGUAAACCGCGAGGAAGGUGGGGAUGACGUCAAGUCAGCACGGCCCUUAUGUCCAGGGCUACACACGUGUACCNAUGGUCGAUACAAGGCCCAGCUACCUGGUGACAGGAUACUAAUCUCUAAAUCGUCUNNNGUUCGGAUCGAAGUCUGCACUCGACUUCGUAAGCUGGAUUCGCUAGUA